rnacentral:tRNA from 1 species
CCAUAGCUCCGGGGUUAGAGCACUGGUCUUGUAAAUCAGGGGUCACGAGUUCAAAUCUCGCUGG